rnacentral:rRNA from 1 species
UACGUAGGGACCAAGCGUUGUUCGGAUUUACUGGGCGUAAAGGGCGCGUAGGCGGCGUGGUAAGUCAGCUGUGAAAUCUCCGAGCUUAACUCGGAACGGUCAGCUGAUACUGCUGUGCUAGAGUACAGAAAGGGCAAUCGGAAUUCUUGGUGUAGCGGUGAAAUGCGUAGAUAUCAAGAGGAACACCUGAGGCGAAGGCGGGUUGCUAGGCUGAUACUGACGCUGAAGCGCGAAAGCUAGGGUAGCAAACGGG